UUGAGGCGUGGCUUCCGGAGCUAACGCGUUAAGUCGACCGCCUGGGGAGUACGGCCGCAAGGUUAAAACUCAAAUGAAUUGACGGGGGCCCGCACAAGCGGUGGAGCAUGUGGUUUAAUUCGAUGCAACGCGAAGAACCUUACCUGGUCUUGACAUCCACGGAAGUUUUCAGAGAUGAGAAUGUGCCUUCGGGAACCGUGAGACAGGUGCUGCAUGGCUGUCGUCAGCUCGUGUUGUGAAAUGUUGGGUUAAGUCCCGCAACGAGCGCAACCCUUAUCCUUUGUUGCCAGCGGUCCGGCCGGGAACUCAAAGGAGACUGCCAGUGAUAAACUGGAGGAAGGUGGGGAUGACGUCAAGUCAUCAUGGCCCUUACGACCAGGGCUACACACGUGCUACAAUGGCGCAUACAAAGAGAAGCGACCUCGCGAGAGCAAGCGGACCUCAUAAAGUGCGUCGUAGUCCGGAUUGGAGUCUGCAACUCGACUCCAUGAAGUCGGAAUCGCUAGUAAUCGUGGAUCAGAAUGCCACGGUGAAUACGUUCCCGGGCCUUGUACACACCGCCCGUCACACCAUGGGAGUGGGUUGCAAAAGAAGUAGGUAGCUUAACCUUCGGGAGGGCGCUUACCACUUUGUGAUUCAUGACUGGGGUGAAGUCGUAACAAGGUAACCGUAGGGGAACCUGCGGUUGGAUCAC
rnacentral:rRNA from 1 species